GACGAACGCUGACGGCGUGCUUAACACAUGCAAGUCGAACGGAAAGGCCCUGCUUUUGUGGGGUGCUCGAGUGGCGAACGGGUGAGUAACACGUGAGUAACCUGCCCUUGACUUUGGGAUAACUUCAGGAAACUGGGGCUAAUACCGGAUAGGAGCUCCUGCUGCAUGGUGGGGGUUGGAAAGUUUCGGCGGUUGGGGAUGGACUCGCGGCUUAUCAGCUUGUUGGUGGGGUAGUGGCUUACCAAGGCUUUGACGGGUAGCCGGCCUGAGAGGGUGACCGGCCACAUUGGGACUGAGAUACGGCCCAGACUCCUACGGGAGGCAGCAGUGGGGAAUAUUGCACAAUGGGCGGAAGCCUGAUGCAGCAACGCCGCGUGCGGGAUGACGGCCUUCGGGUUGUAAACCGCUUUCGCCUGUGACGAAGCGUGAGUGACGGUAAUGGGUAAAGAAGCACCGGCUAACUACGUGCCAGCAGCCGCGGUGAUACGUAGGGUGCGAGCGUUGUCCGGAUUUAUUGGGCGUAAAGGGCUCGUAGGUGGUUGAUCGCGUCGGAAGUGUAAUCUUGGGGCUUAACCCUGAGCGUGCUUUCGAUACGGGUUGACUUGAGGAAGGUAGGGGAGAAUGGAAUUCCUGGUGGAGCGGUGGAAUGCGCAGAUAUCAGGAGGAACACCAGUGGCGAAGGCGGUUCUCUGGGCCUUUCCUGACGCUGAGGAGCGAAAGCGUGGGGAGCGAACAGGCUUAGAUACCCUGGUAGUCCACGCUGUAAACGGUGGGUACUAGGUGUGGGGUCCAUUCCACGGGUUCCGUGCCGUAGCUAACGCUUUAAGUACCCCGCCUGGGGAGUACGGCCGCAAGGCUAAAACUCAAAGGAAUUGACGGGGCCCCGCACAAGCGGCGGAGCAUGCGGAUUAAUUCGAUGCAACGCGUAGAACCUUACCUGGGUUUGACAUGGAUCGGGAGUGCUCAGAGAUGGGUGUGCCUCUUUUGGGGUCGGUUCACAGGUGGUGCAUGGCUGUCGUCAGCUCGUGUCGUGAGAUGUUGGGUUAAGUCCCGCAACGAGCGCAACCCUUGUUCACUGUUGCCAGCACGUUAUGGUGGGGACUCAGUGGAGACCGCCGGGGUCAACUCGGAGGAAGGUGGGGAUGACGUCAAGUCAUCAUGCCCCUUAUGUCCAGGGCUUCACGCAUGCUACAAUGGCUGGUACAGAGAGUGGCGAGCCUGUGAGGGUGAGCGAAUCUCGGAAAGCCGGUCUCAGUUCGGAUUGGGGUCUGCAACUCGACCUCAUGAAGUCGGAGUCGCUAGUAAUCGCAGAUCAGCAACGCUGCGGUGAAUACGUUCCCGGGGCU
rnacentral:rRNA from 1 species